rnacentral:rRNA from 1 species
GUGGUGACACAUAAUCGAAAGCCCCGACUGUUUACUAAAAACAUAAGAAUCUGCAAUGAUUAAUAUCGUCGUAUAGGUUCUGAAAUUUGCCCAAUGCCAUUAAUAUAAGAGAGGUAAUGUAAGUGACUAAUCGAAAAUCUGGUUAAUAGCGGUCUUAACUAUGAGGAUCCAAAGGUAGCAAAAUCAAUUGGCCAUUAAAUGUGA